UCCUCUGUGAUGAUUGAACAGUAAGACUUUCGUUCUUCUGAGUUUUCUGAAGCCAAUCUUUCUGUUCUGAGAGGA